rnacentral:rRNA from 1 species
ACGUCAAGUCAUCAUGGCCCUUACGGCCUGGGCUACACACGUGCUACAAUGGUCGGUACAGAGGGUUGCCAAGCCGCGAGGUGGAGCUAAUCUCACAAAACCGAUCGUAGUCCGGAUCGCAGUCUGCAACUCGACUGCGUGAAGUCGGAAUCGCUAGUAAUCGCGAAUCAGAAUGUCGCGGUGAAUACGUUCCCGGGCCUUGUACACACCGCCCGUCACACCAUGGGAGUGGGUUGCACCAGAAGUAGCUAGUCUAACCUUCGGGGGGACGGUUACCACGGUGUGAUUCAUGACUGGGGUGAAGUCGUAACAAGGUAGCCGUAGGGGAACCUGCGGCUGGAUCACCUCCUUA